rnacentral:rRNA from 1 species
UACGGGGGGCGCAAGCGUUGUUCGGAUUUACUGGGCGUAAAGGGCGCGUAGGCGGCCUCUGCAAGUCGACUGUGAAAUCUCCGGGCUUAACCCGGAACGGUCAGCCGAUACUGCAGGGCUAGAGUGCAGAAGGGGCAACUGGAAUUCUCGGUGUAGCGGUGAAAUGCGUAGAUAUCGAGAGGAACACCUGCGGCGAAGGCGGGUUGCUGGGCUGAUACUGACGCUGAGGCGCGAAAGCCAGGGGAGCGAACGGG